UCAAAGGAAUUGACGGGACCCCGCACAAGCGGUGGAUUAUGUUGUUUAAUUCGACGCAACGCGAAGAACCUUACCAGGCCUUGACAUACUCGGCAAAGCUCUAGAGAUAGAGUGGAGGUUAUCCGGGAUACAGGUGGUGCAUGGUUGUCGUCAGCUCGUGUCGUGAGAUGUUGGGUUAAGUCCCGCAACGAGCGCAACCCUUGUCUUUAGUUACCAUCAUUCAGUUGGGGACUCUAGAGAGACUGCCGGUGAUAAACCGGAGGAAGGUGGGGAUGACGUCAAAUCAUCAUGCCCCUUAUGGCCUGGGCUACAAACGUAAUACAAUGGCGUAUACAAAGGGAUGCGAAAGGGCGACCUGGAGCAAAACUCACAAAGUACGUCUCAGUUCGGAUUGAAGUCUGCAACUCGACUUCAUGAAGUCGGAAUCGCUAGUAAUCGCGGAUCAGCAUGCCGCGGUGAAUACGUUCCCGGGCCUU
rnacentral:rRNA from 1 species